rnacentral:rRNA from 1 species
CACGUAGAUUACGUACCUCUUGGCGGGGAACAACCCAGGGAAACCUGGGCUAAUACCGCAUAUGUCCUCGGAGUGAAAGGACUUCGGCCACCACGGAGAUCGGUCUGCGGCCCACUUAUCUAAUCCUAGUUGGUGUGGUAACGGCACACCAAGGUACGAUGGGUAGCUGGUCUGAGAGGAUGAUCAGCCACACUGGAACUGAGACACGGUCCAGACUCCUACGGGAGGCAGCAGUGGGGAAUAUUGGACAAUGGGCGAAAGCCUGAUCCAGCCACGCCGCGUGUGUGAUGAAGGCCUUCG